UGUCUUCCUCCAGCUUGUGGUUCUGUCCGGCACCCAUUGCCGGCAAUGGGUGUCUCUUUUGAUGAUGGCCCUUCAGCAAAGGAUUCCUGUGUUUCCAAACAAAUUGCUUUUGUGUUCCUGAAGUAUUUAAUAAGAAGCAUUUUGCACUCUAGGAAGUAUGUUUGUGUUGAUUUUUUAAGAAGUCUAAAUGGAUUUAUUAAUAUCUGACACUUUAAGUUAACUGCAUUGAUGAUACGAUAUUUUUGGAAGCAUACAAUUUUAAUUGUGACGUCUAAAACCUCUUUUAGUCCAUUGAGGAUGUAAAUAAAUAUUUCUUCUUAUGGACCAGGGAUAUGAAAUCAUUUUCCUUUUGUAGCUAAUGAUUGCCUUGAGAAAGACAUAAUAUGAUUUUAUUAAGAGUCUGCCUUUACUCCAAUUGUUGAAGGUGUGCUGAGUUUAAUUGUUAAUUUUCCUAUAUAGUGCUGAUUUCCUGCAUGUCUGUACUUUGCUGAGUUUCUGUGUUCCUGCAGCAGUGGUCAGAACAUGCUGAAAUUCCUUUCAUGGUGUUAUUUUUUAUUUGUUCUAGUUUUGAGAUAAAUGAGUGACUCUGUCAUAAAAUGUCCAUUUUUGAUUUGUUCUUGAAGAAUUAGGGUACAAAACAAGUAUCGUAGUCAUAGUAACAACUGUUACUGAACAGGUCUUCUGUAGGGGCUCCUAAGUAUGAGACAACAUGCAGUGGUUUCUGAAAUGACUGAGCGAUAAGUAAAUUAUAUAUUCUUUUUUUAAAAGAUUUAUUUUAUUUAUAUGAGUACACUGUAGCUGUCUUCAGACACACCAGAAGAGGGCAUCAGAUCUUAUUACAGAUGGUUGUGAGCCACCAUGUGGUUGCUGGGAAUUGAACUCAGGACCUUUGGAAGGGCAGUCAGUGCUCUUAACUGCUGAGCUAUCUCUCUAGCCCCAAAUUAUAUAUUCUUAUACAGACCCACAGUCCAGAGAAAGUGAAGCUGGCUCAGAGUUAGCACCAACAUUUCCCUGAAAAAAUGUGUUAGGUGUUUAAAAAUCUCAUCGUAAAUAAAUUAUUUUAUUUUUAGUUUAAGUGAAUUUCUCUUAAUUUAAAUAAGACUAAUAUUUUUGUUUGACUGAAGACCCUUGUACUCUCUGGUGUCAGUUUGGUGUCACUUGAAACAAUGACAACCACGUCAGCAUGUUACUGCAAUGUCAGUGAUGGUUUCAAAGGAGAAAAUGGAUGUCAUCUUAGGACUGCUUGUGUGUGUAUAGACCGUGGUGGAUGCUGUAGAGUGCUUGUUGUCUGAGUGUUGUUUUGUGGUAUGGCUGUCUCUCUGAAUAAUGUCAACCUUACAGAAAGAGAAGGUGUUAUAUGUGUAACAUAUGGCUUUAUAAAAGAUUUAAUGUCAAAAGAGUCUAUAAAUAUUGCUGUUAUUUUUAAAGGCACUUUACUCCUUGGUUUUAUUAUUCCAUUUUGCUGGCGUGUAUUAGCUUUAUAUAAAUCACAACAC
rnacentral:lncRNA from 1 species